GGAGUGUCUGUUGAGCUGUGGAGUGUCAGUUUUUUGAAUUGGGGGAGAGGCGGAUGGGCUU
rnacentral:tRNA from 1 species